AAUACGGAGGGCGCAAGCGUUGUUCGGAAUUACUGGGCGUAAAGCGCGUGUAGGCGGCCAGGUAAGUCGGAUGUGAAAGCCCGGGGCCCAACCCCGGAACUGCACCCGAUACUGCCUGGCUGGAGUCCCGGAGAGGAUGGCGGAAUUUCCGGUGUAGAGGUGAAAUUCGUAGAUAUCGGAAGGAACACCAGUGGCGAAGGCGGCCAUCUGGACGGUGACUGACGCUGAGACGCGAAAGCGUGGGGAGCAAACA
rnacentral:rRNA from 1 species